rnacentral:lncRNA from 1 species
GGUUCAUGCAUCAUGGGGAAUGUUUUCAUGCUUCAUGGUUGUUUCAAAUAUCUUACUUUAUUUUAAGCGUACCUGAUUGGCAGACAACAAUAAAAGCCUUUGAAUUUGUAGAAGAUCCAUCUCGGAAAGCCGGAAUUGCAUCUCCAAUGCGUUGUAUCACGUUCAACUUAGAAAAAUUAAAUUGAAUCAAUAGCAUGUAGAUCAAUUCAAAACAAUAAAUUAAUCAUAAUAAGAAUGAUUAGAAUGUAAUACUCCCCUGAUUGAAGAAUAAACUCUCUUUAGCGCAGCGUCAAGAACGUGCUGAUAACGUGUUGUAGGCAUAAUUUACUGAACAAUUAUGGAUGCCAUAGAGAGAGAAGGGGUGCGGCACAUAAAGAGAAGAAGAGAUAUAUGUGUAAUUGUGGGUGUGUGUUAUUCCACCUCAUUGUGCCUUUAUUUAUAAUAGUAAGAUAGGUAAAAACCUUUCCCUUCAGGAUUACAACAUUUAAUAGGUAAUCUACUCCUAAUAGGAAUAUAAGAUACAUUUUCAUAUAUACUAGGAUUUACACAAUCACAUUCAUAUUCCAAUAGGACUGCAACAAAAACAUCUUUUUUUUUAAAAAGCUAAUGGGUACAAACUUAUUCUAAUUUAUUUAUUUAUUUUGGAAUGUUUUGAAUUGAAAAUUAGUUAGGAGUUUAAUAAAGGUGUGAGUAUUAAAAUUCUAAAUCUAUUAUUAAUUUUUAUUUAAAAAAAUUAUGUAACGGAUAUGUAAAAUCAUUAUUACAUUAAUGCUAAAAACUUGGAUCAAAAUCUAAAUACUAACAAAAUUUCAGUCAAUGAACAUUAGUAAUUAAGGACAGAUACUAAUUUUUCCAUUUAAAAAAUUACUGUACAUCUCAUGAUUUUAUGAAUAAGCAAAUCGUUUAUUGAAUGAGUUAUUUUGCAUUUUAAAUACAUGACAAGCAUCUACGUAACGAGUGACGCAAACUUUAUAUCGAUUGGAAGAGAGUAUCAUUUCUGCAGACCAAGCUAAAGUAAUGCUCUCUUUUAAGUUUUUUUUUUUGUCUAUAUGCUCUCCUCUUUUUCUCAGACUGUUGAAUGAAACGUGACUACUAGCAUGAUGCCAAAGAUGAAUCUGAACUUGGGAUAAGUCAUUGACUGGGUCAUUGACUGGUAUAAAAAUUAGUCACAAGGUGUUGAAGUUUAUGGUUGGCGUGGCUUGUCAACCAAGAUAUUAACUUGUGGUGCUCUUUCGAAGAAAGCCAAGCUAAAUAUUUCAUCUGUAAAUAAUUCCUUUUUUUUUUUCUACUUCAAAGUAUGUUUGAAAAAAAAAAGAUGUUAAUAUUAUAUAUUGUGUCUGUUAAAAGUAGAAGAUAUAUGUCAUGAAAUAUACUUUUUCUGUCGCUUUAAUAGAAUUGCAAGGAAUGAGUUCCGGUCAUGAAUAAUUUAUAUUCUAUCUUCGACUUAGACAUAAAAUGAAGGUGGACAUCCCUUUAUUGAUUCAACUGUAGAUAUUUUUGUAUUUGAUCCAAUGAUAUUUUACAUUAAGAAGUAGGAGUAUUUAGGCUAAGUUGUUGUAUAAGUCCAACAUAAUAAGAUGAUAUUUGUUGCAGGACAUUUAUGUCCGUCCAUUAAUUGGUAAUGAAUAGGCCAUUGAUAUCUCAAAUGAAUGGGUCAUUCAUUUCUUAAUUAACUGCUAUAAUUGUUAGGUCAUUUAUUCCUUAAUUGAUUAGGCAACUAAUUCUUACUACUGAAAUAGAGGUAUUUGUGUAAUUUGCCAGGAUAGCCCCACCAUUAUAUAAAGUCGGCUAUAGCUCACAUUGUAAAAUACUAAGAAUUUCUCUAAUAGAAUUCUCUUGUUCUCUCUCAUAUUAUUUUCAACACUUUUGAUCUUAACGGAAUUAAAAUGUGCAGUUUGAUUUUUUUCACCUUUUUGGCAACAAUCCUCUAAAUUUUGAAAGUAGGAUCAUCUUUAUGUUUUGAAGUAUUUCGUACCACUUAAAAAGCAUCGGAAUUUAAGAAAACAUUAAAUUCCCAAAAUUGACAUGCUUAAUCCAAUACUUUAGUCAAAACAUGUGUUUCGAAAUAAGUGCAUUUUUUUGUGAUUUUUUAGAAAGUCUUUAAUCCAGUAGGGGCCGGGAUGGUGCUUGUCGAAGAUCCAAAUUCGUCAACUUUCUUACUGUGAAAACAAACCACAAAAUUCCAAGGCCUCGUUUGGUAAAUAGAAUAAGCAAUAAAUUUGGGUUAGAAGUGAUUAGAUAAGAGCUAAUCCCAUCAUAAUCUCAUUAUGUGUGUGUUUUACGGUAUAACUAAUCCCUCCCAAACAAUUAGGAUAACCAAUCAAACCACUUUGACCUUGUCCCUGAUCCGAACUCAAGAUUUGAAUUAACACAAGUGCAAAGGUAAACAAUUAGGAUUACCAAUCAAACUAUUUAUGUGCUUGUAGUGAGAUGUGGAAGACGAAAUUAAUUGAUUUUAAACGUUUAAUCAAAAUAUCGACUUUUGAAAUGUUGACGAUUGUUAUAAACAAUGAAGAGGUUUAUAAGAACGGUUAGAAAUCUCGACACAGAAAAUUCAUUAAUACAAGACCAAUGAUACUAACCACUUGAGUUAAAAGCCAUUACUCAACCAACUGAAAGUUUUGGCAAAAAUAAUCAACUUAACAAUAACAAUUUAAUACACAACUUACCAUAACAAUUUAGUAAACGGAACGGACAAUUUAGAAAUAAAUAUCAUAUACCGAAAUUUGUUUUUAACAAAUAAUACGGAACUACUCUAAAUUCAUAUGAACUAUAGGUAUGAGGAUUUAAACUUGUAUGCAAAGAGUGGAGCACACUGCUUUAAUCAAUUUGACUAAACCCAAAUCUCUAAGAGUAUCUCUAAAGAAGAUAUCAACUUUUAAACAUAAAAUUUAAAUUUGAAAGAGAGCAUAGUUGAAAGAUGAGAAAGUAGGUUUGACAAGAAAAAAUGAAAAAGUAGGAUACGAAGCUAUUGCCAAUUUUGGCAGCAAGAAUGAGAGCUGUCAAUCCAUAUCAUAUCACAUCAGAUUUGGCUUCUUGAUUAAAAAACAUUGUUGCUUGUCUGUUUUACUCUUACUUCCAAUUUAAACGUUUUGACAUUUCUUUUGAAUAUGCUCUAACGAACAAAUAA